CGCGGCCUAUCAGCUUGUUGGUGGGGUAAUGGCCUACCAAGGCAUCGACGGGUAGCUGGUCUGAGAGGACGAUCAGCCACACUGGGACUGAGACACGGCCCAGACUCCUGCGGGAGGCAGCAGUGGGGAAUCUUGCGCAAUGGGCGAAAGCCUGACGCAGCAACGCCGCGUGGGGGAUGAAGGCUCUCGGGUUGUAAACCCCUUUCAGCAGGGACGAAAAUGACGGUACCUGCAGAAGAAGCUCCGGCCAACUACGUGCCAGCAGCCGCGGUAAUACGUAGGGAGCAAGCGUUGUCCGGAUUUAUUGGGCGUAAGGAGCUCGUAGGCGGUUUGGUAAGUCAGAUGUGAAAACUCAGGGCUCAACCCCGAGAGGCCAUCUGAUACUGCCAUGACUAGAGUCCGGUAGAGGAGUGUGGAAUUUCUGGUGUAGCGGUGAAAUGCGCAGAUAUCAGAAGGAACACCAACGGCGAAGGCAGCACUCUGGGCCGGUACUGACGCUGAGGAGCGAAAGCGUGGGGAGCAAACAGGAUUAGAUACCCUGGUAGUCCACGCCGUAAACGCUGGGCACUAGGUGUGGGACCUUAUCAACGGGUUCCGUGCCGUAGCUAACGCAUUAAGUGCCCCGCCUGGGGAGUACGG
rnacentral:rRNA from 1 species